rnacentral:rRNA from 1 species
GACGCCACACAAACUGGUUUUUUCUGGUAACCAU